rnacentral:rRNA from 1 species
AUUGAACGCUGGCGGCAUGCUUUACACAUGCAAGUCGAACGGCAGCGCGGGCUUCGGCCUGGCGGCGAGUGGCGAACGGGUGAGUAAUGCAUCGGAACGUGCCCAGUAGUGGGGGAUAGCCCGGCGAAAACCGGAUUAAUACCGCAUACGACCUGAGGGUGAAAGCGGGGGACCGAAAGGCCUCGCGCUAUUGGAGCGGCCGAUGUCGGAUUAGCUAGUUGGUGGGGUAAAGGCUUACCAAGGCGACGAUCCGUAGCUGGUCUGAGAGGACGACCAGCCACACUGGGACUGAGACACGGCCCAGACUCCUACGGGAGGCAGCAGUGGGGAAUUUUGGACAAAGGGGGCAACCCUGAUCCAGCCAUGCCGCGUGCGGGAAGAAGGCCUUCGGGUUGUAAACCGCUUUUGUUCGGGAAGAAAUCCUCUGGGCUAAUACCCCGGGGGGAUGACGGUACCGGAAGAAUAAGCACCGGCUAACUACGUG